GACACCUUGAUCUUGGACUUCCAGACUGCACAACAGUGAGACAUUCCAUUUCUGCUGUUUAAGCCUCCCAACUGUCAUUUUGCCAUGGAGGCCUAGCAAGCUGACAUGCUCUGUGGGCAGGUCUGCUUCACCUUCUGAAAAGAUAACUUUCUUCAGUUGCUGAGUGAACAGCAGGCAACAGAGAGGCAAGCACCCCAGUCUAGUGCAGCAGCCUGAAAGGCAGAUGGGGACCCUGCCGAGGGUCCUCCACAUUGAUGGGCAGGAUGUUAAAGGAAAAUGAAGGAGGAAAGCAAGGAAGAAAGGAAAAGUGGGAGAGACAGAAGACUGCAUGAAGCCCUGGAAAUGACAUCGCAUUUCAUCCUCACGUAAUCCUGGGGAAGGAGAUCAACACCAUCAGAGCAAAGCAAAACCCGGAUUUAGCGAUAACUGGAGCGACAUGAAAGAAAUAAAACUGCCGGGGAUGUUUAGUGGAACAAGAGGAAGCCCUGAGCCAGCAGUGUGAACAGCAGCCUCGAUUUCCUCUUGGCUCUCGGGGUCUCCCCUGCCCUCUCUCUGUAAACAAAAUCCAGACACACUUGUGGGACUAGUAGGCUAUGGAAAAUACAUUUAAAAUGACAACCGUAAAUAAA